rnacentral:rRNA from 1 species
CCUACGGGGGGCAGCAGUGGGGAAUAUUGGACAAUGGGGGCAACCCUGAUCCAGCCAUGCCGCGUGUGUGAAGAAGGCCUUCGGGUUGUAAAGCACUUUAAGCGAGGAGGAAGGUCUUUGAACUAAUAUUUCAAAGAAUUGACGUUACUCGCAGAAUAAGCACCGGCUAACUCUGUGCCAGCAGCCGCGGUAAUACAGAGGGUGCAAGCGUUAAUCGGAAUUACUGGGCGUAAAGCGCGCGUAGGCGGUAUGUUAAGUCGGAUGUGAAAUCCCUGGGCUCAACCUAGGCAUUGCAUCCGAUACUGGCACACUAGAGUGUGGGAGAGGAAGGUAGAAUUCCAGGUGUAGCGGUGAAAUGCGUAGAGAUCUGGAGGAAUACCGAUGGCGAAGGCAGCCUUCUGGCCUAACACUGACGCUGAGGUGCGAAAGCAUGGGGAGCAAACAGGAUUAGAUACCCCGGUAGUC